rnacentral:tRNA from 1 species
GGGGACAUAGCUCAGCCGGUUAGAGCGCUCGCUUCACAUGCGAGAGGUCAAGGGUUCGAGUCCCCUUGUCCCCACCA